rnacentral:miRNA from 1 species
UUAAAAGUGUAAGUAUGUCCCAAAUAUUGCUUGGGAUAUACGUAUGCUAAAA